rnacentral:rRNA from 1 species
GUGCCAGCCGCCGCGGUAAUACGUAGGUGGCAAGCGUUGUCCGGAUUUACUGGGCGUAAAGGGUGUGUAGGCGGAUAUUUAAGUGAGAUGUGAAAUCCCCCGGCUUAACUUGGGGGCUUCAUUGCAAACUGGGUGUCUUGAGUGCAGAAGAGGAAAGCAGAAUUCCUAGUGUAGCGGUGAAAUGCGUAGAGAUUUGGAAGAAAACCAGUGGCGAAGGCGCCUUUCUGGACUGCAACUGACGCUGAGGCUCGAAAGCGUGGGGAGCAAACAGGAUUAGAUACCCUGGUAGUCCAUGCCGUAAACGAUGAAUGCUAGGUGUAGGAGGUUU